AGUGAACGCUGGCGGUAGGCCUAACACAUGCCAGUCGAACGGCAGCACAGUAAGAGCUUGCUCUUACGGGUGGCGAGUGGCGGACGGGUGAGGAAUACAUCGGAAUCUACUUUUUCGUGGGGGAUAACGUAGGGAAACUUACGUUAAUACCGCAUACGACCUACGGGUGAAAGCAGGGGAUCUUCGGACCUUGCGCGAUUGAAUGAGCCGAUGUCGGAUUAGCUAGUUGGCGGGGUAAAGGCCCACCAAGGCGACGAUCCGUAGCUGGUCUGAGAGGAUGAUCAGCCACACUGGAACUGAGACACGGUCCAGACUCCUACGGGAGGCAGCAGUGGGGAAUAUUGGACAAUGGGCGCAAGCCUGAUCCAGCCAUACCGCGUGGGUGAAGAAGGCCUUCGGGUUGUAAAGCCCUUUUGUUGGGAAAGAAAAGCAGCAGGUUAAUACCCCGCUGUUCUGACGGUACCCAAAGAAUAAGCACCGGCUAACUUCGUG
rnacentral:rRNA from 1 species